rfam:Clostridium sp. CAG:575 genomic scaffold, scf147
GUUUUAUUCCAAGCGCCAGAACCAUUAAUGCAGGUUGACGAGGUCUAGGGUUAUCGAAAUUUCGGCGGAUGCUCUAGUGGCUUUUGCUUAAAGUCAUAAGUAUUGAUACAAAAAAUAAUAGAAAUAUUAAAACAGAAUUCAAUACAUUUAAGCGU